AUAGGUUACUGUUGCUUACUUGGAGGGAGAGGGGAAAGGGUUAGGUGGCAAGGAGGUUGGUGUGGUGCAAACACACUGGCAGAGCCAAUCUAGUACUCCUGCUAGUGCAUUUGCACCACACCAACCUUCCUGCCACCACACCCCUUUCCCUUCUCCCUCCUAGUAAGCAACACCAACCCA